AUGAAGUCAGCUUGUACUCAGGUACUAGGUCAACGAUGAGCGCUCGCGCAGCUACAGUGAUUGAAUGCACCUGUUGCUAUGCAACAACGUAGCAGUUUAGUCGGUGAUAAUGUGAAGAGUUGGGAAUAUUUAGGCCAAGCUAGCUGACGCCAAAGAGAAAGUGAAACAUUACAAAGCGACGAAAAAGAGGAAAAAAAGAAGAAGAAAGAGAAGAAGAAAGCACUGAAGUGGCUGAAGGUGAAAAAAUAUGCGAAUUUGCACGAAGUAGAUACAAAAAAGUAGCAGUGCUGAUGGUAACCUAACUAACAAUGUUGCCCGUAAGUGGGAUGUGAAAGAAACUUUUCUACAUUGAAGUUCAUGAAGCAUCGUCUGAGGAGCAGAAUGUCAGGACAGUGUGGAGAAAGACAUCGUAAAGAUGCUGGACUUUAACAAUGUGGUAGCCUUCAUAAUGACUACAUAAAGUUUAGAUGGAUAGAACUUUGACAAGGAUGGAGCGUCAUGGAGCGUUUGGCAUUAGAGUUGGUCUACUGCUGUGCUUGCAGGAGAAACUCCUGCAGUUAUUGAACAGAAGAAGGAAAAGACACCUGCAGUACCUGACAUGAUUCGGACUCUCCUGGAAACUAGAAAAUAUCAUGUGAAGGACUGACCUGCUGUGUUGGCUGAAGAAAACAAGCAAAUUGAUGACGUUGUGGACUGUGUAAAAGACAGGAGGGACGGCUGAAAGUGGAUGUGAGAUGUGAGGAAGAGGAGACAUGACUGAAAGCUUCAAAUAAAAAGAAGAAAAAUGGGAAAUACUAAAUAUACUCUCAUCGACACAGCUGUUGUUGGUGCAACCGUUAUUUUCAUUGGUUAACAUAUAUGUAAUUGAUCACUACUACACCGCAGCAUAGUGUUACAUACUUACAUACUGCUAUGCAUGGGAAGUCCUUAACUGAUAAUGCAACAUCAAUUUGAGGAAGACUUUAAAUCCUAAUGGCAACCUUGACCAUGACCUGAGAGAAUCCUAAGGUCUCUAAACUAAAAUACAUUUGAUGAGUCUUAUUGUAGUUGUCGAUGGAGUAAGUCGCAUGGUCUUAAUGUGGUUUUUAAGGCCUUUCUAUCCUGAGUAGUAAGUUUAAAUUCUGAAGGAAAAACCUAAUUUCCAACAAUUUAAUUCUGAAGGAAAAAUAAAUACUUCAUAUAACUUUUUUUGCAUUGUCAAACUUAAAGAUCUUGAACAGAUUUUUCCUUACAAAAAUCCACAUUGGUUGCCAUUAUACAAGAGAAAUGUCAUUUCCGAUAUGCUUUGACAUUAGAAUCUGAUUAGCCUGACAUAAUCAAAGUAACUUAUCUGAAAAUGGAUAUAGUAUAGCUUCAUACACACUUUAUUUUAGUCUGUCAUAGCUAAUCUAGUUUAGAAAGCCUUUUAUCCAUUCUUAGAAGUCAUGCCUUUUAUUAAAAGUUGUUCAUCCCACCACAAUAGUAACAACAUGACUUGGAGAUAAAACAGGCAACAAAUUAAAUAUAAAAGUUGUCAAUGGUAAGUUCUUGUUUAAAUAAAAGUCACUAAAGGGGUCUAAAAAGUCACCAAGCUAAUAGCCAAAAAGUGCUUCCAAAGCAAGCAGCAGGAGUGUAGCAACAACUCACAUCCUGGCCCUGACUGUUAAGUAGCUUUUAAAAAUGCUGACACCUUUUUUCCUCUACUGGAUUUAUUUUAUUCUGGUUAUUGUAAACUGUCAGCUCUAACUUCUCUCUCUGCUUUGCCUAAAUAGAAAUCAAGCAGCUCUUUUGGCCACAUUCCAUCUGCCAGGUUUCAGAAAUAAAUUAAUAAAGAAAGAGCCAGCGGUUUGAAAAAAAGAUGAAUAAAGUGAACACUAGUAGACCAAGGCUUGUUCCUAUGUAUGAUGAAGCCAGGAGGGUUGAGAAUGUGGCAGGGGGUAAAACAGGCAUCCAUCCUGCUGACAUGAACCUUGGCAGGCUGUGAUACACUGCAGGACGGGCCUCAGUCCUCUAGUCCAGCUGCAUCUGGAGGUAAGCUGAGGGACAGAGAGACUUUGAUGUCGUUUAUGGAAAAUCCCAUAACAAACCUGAAAGAAGCAGGUAAGGGCAAAACCAGAAAGGAUUAGGCUAGUCAUAUUGUAUAUUUUUCUCAUUGUCAACAAAUCCAAUGAUGAUCCAAUGAAAACUUAAAAAAGGUACUGAUCAUACCAACAAGUAUCGUCUGUGUAUCCAAAGCCUGCCAUAGCUUAUUCCUCUGUGCCAUACAGUCCCAGCUUUGUCAAACAAAAAUGAAAAACACAUCAGUGAGCCACACGGUAAUAUGUUCUUUCAUUAUUAUCAAAAAGGGCACUGUAGUUUAUUCUGAGUCAAUCCCACAUACACUGUCCUGCGCUGGAAAUACUCACUAGAGCACCUAAUGUGUAUUAAUCCACAGCUGAAAAUAGUCCCCUUCAAAUGCACCACUUUGCUAGAAAUAACAGUGCCCUUUUAAUUUAGGGAAUUACACAUAAUACAAAGAAAAGCAGCAAUUUCUCAAGAAUCAGCAAAUGUUUAAUAUUUUUGCUUGAAGAAAGGCUCAAACAAUUGAUUAUCAAAAUAAUGUUCUGUUUAACAACUAAUCGAUUCAACAGCUGCAGCUCUAAAGUAGAACUGCAGUAAUAUGGUUGUUUUGAGGUGUACUGACUUGUAAAAAAAAAAAAAAAAAAAAAAAAAAAAAAAAAAAUCCUGUACACGUGACAAAUAUAGUCCAAAAGCAAUUGUAACUGUUGGCAUUAUUGAUUAUUGCAUAACGGUGGUAAUAAUAACAUUGGUAAUGUGACUUGUGGUUGCAUCAAACUAUUCCAAUGCAUCUUUUCUUUGCAGCUCUGCCCAUAGUGAAAAAAUACCAAAACUGCACUUCUUUGUUUGGUUAAUUUGGCUCGGAUGCUUUUGCCAUCUUGUUUCUUCCUCUUGGAAAACACGACAGAACAAAACAAAGUAUUCUGUACAGCAGCUGGCAUGAUACAUUGACAACAUGUGUUUAAUGCAAACUGACAGUAAGCAAAGUUGCUACAUUUUCUUGUUCAAUGACUGGUUAGCGCUGUCCCUAAUACAAAACAACGUAAUAUUCUGCAUACACAGAGAGGACAUUGUCUUAUUUACUGCUGAUUUGUGAACCAUGACUUUUUACACAAACACACACCAUAUUCCUCAUUAAUAUUGUUUUUGAUAAGGUCACUUUCAAAGAACCAAUUAGCAAGUGGGGAACCUUGAAGAUUUUUAAUGAAACUCUAAAUAUACUGUAAGUAAAAUUGGCAGCGUCGAUAACAGCACACGAAGGGUAGAGUGGUUAAAUAUAGCAAAACACAAAUGCCACAACAUGCAAAUUAGUUAAAACAAUCUUUUUCCACGUGUGUUUAUGAUCAAGGUCUUUAUAAAGUAGUGUUACUGUAUUUAAUUAUUCAAGUCUUCAUGAAAAUAGUCAUACUGGACAAUGUGAUCGGCUUUACUUUAACAAUGAUCAGCUUCACAGCAAUAAAUUAAUGAAACUCUGUUGCUGCUGUAUAGCAGUGAAGGGGUUGAAACUUUAAUCACAUAGAAAAUGAAAGUGUCAGUGUCAGUAACAGACUUGCCGCAUUUUAGAAAAACAAGUGUUUAGGAAAUGCAUGACAGACUUAUCUAAAUGUAAUUUUGAUGAGCGGAGAAAGACAGCAGUACCUUUUUUGUAAUGACAUUUAGUUAAGUCUGAUGGACCCAAUAAAAGGGACUGCGCUUUACAAAGGCUUCAUCACCAAAAUAAACUGAGAAUGGACAGGUCAGUUUCAGCACAGUACCUGCAUUAGGAUCCAUUUACAUGACUGAGUGAGGCUCUCAGCAAGGAGAAGGUUGCAAGGUUGACAGAAAAAAGAAAACCAAUAUGUUGGUGUGUUUGAGAUGUUCGUGUUGUGAGGCAGAUUUGUUUUUUUCCUACUGCAGGAUAUGGUACCACAAUGUAUAAAAUGAUACUUGUGGCUCUUUUUGGUAGCUUUGUUGUAAUCGCCCGCAUUUCAUUUUUUAAUGUUGUAUAACUAUUAAAGCAGAGCAUCUUUACCCUAUGCCCAAACACUUAAGACUUGAAUCUCAUUUGUUCCUCAAAGAGAAGAGACUUGUAUUCACAGCCUCACAACAACUCCCUGUAGCCACACUGAGCCUUUGAGAGACGUCUUUACUUGUUUACAUCCUGUUUACUUUUAUCACAAGUAGCAGCACUUGAACCACUCCUUUUACUCCAAUUAAAAUUUCUGAUUUGGUUGUUGCUGUUAAGUAGAAUAUGCUGUGCAUUAGAGUGGAAGGGGUUAACAAAAGGUGUUACAAAAUGUUUACAACUCGGUCAGUGCAUAGUCUCAAUGUUUUUGUUUUCAAGUGGCAACUUGCAACAUAAAGACAUAUUCAAACUGAUUCUAACACAUACAAGAUGCACAAACACAGACAUGCUUGCACAUGAAUACAGAUAUGACUCAUUAAGUCACAGUAAUCCUGUUCCUGGAAAAGGAUUAUAUGUUCUUCAACAAACCAGCUAUUCAUACUGAAUGUCUCCCAGUAGACAAGCUGGGUCAUCAAUAUUACUGAAGAGAGGGACGAAAAAGGCUGUUUUUCACCAUGCUUUCACUAUUAUGAUAGAAGAUAUCUAUCUGCAGGGAGGAAAACAGUGAUUCUCCAUUCAUCAUUUUUGGGUAGCCAGGGAGAAAAACAUGUUGUUGUUGUUUUUGCAUAUAAUACACACAAUGGAGUCCAUUUAACCUGUGUCAAUACAAUGGCAUCAUGGCAGUGCAUCUAAUUAGAUUACAGCAACAAGGCUAAUUUUUAUGAACUCGGUUACAGUUGCUAACAAAAACAAAGCAAUCAGAUACUCAGUGGGCAAAAUCUAAUGGUUAAAUGGCUAUUUUAUUAACACUAAUAUGAUUAGAAACAGCUUGA